GUGAAUCAUCAAAUUUUUGAACGCAAAUUGCACUCUCUUCGGUGAGUAUGCCUGUUUGAGGGUCAGCCUAUAAAAAAUCGUCAUCGUUGCUGUUUCGCGUUGGUGUUCGUCGGAAAUUUGUUCAUUUUAAAUCCUUUUGAUUUAAGCGACUUAAAAUUUUCUUUUUUUUCAAUGUACGUGCUUCUAAGAUUUAUUUUUUUACACGUUUUAUGUAUCGAUUUUUAUUAGUCGUGACCAUCAUAUCGGAUCUCGUCCUUAAUCUUUCAUUAACUGACCUCCGA
rnacentral:misc_RNA from 1 species